UACGUAGGGGGCAAGCGUUGUCCGGAUUUAUUGGGCGUAAAGAGCGUGUAGGCGGCCAUGCAGGUCCGUUGUGAAAACUCGAGGCUCAACCUCGAGACGCCGGUGGAAACCGUAUGGCUAGAGUCCGGAAGAGGAGAGUGGAAUUCCUGGUGUAGCGGUGAAAUGCGCAGAUAUCAGGAAGAACACCCGUGGCGAAGGCAGGUCUCUGGGCCAUUACUGACACUGAGAAGCGAAAGCAUGGGGAGCGAACAGG
rnacentral:rRNA from 1 species